GACGAACGCUGGCGGCGUGCUUAACACAUGCAAGUCGAACGGAAAGGCCCUGCUUUUGUGGGGUUCUCGAGUGGCGAACGGGUGAGUAACACGUGAGUAACCUGCCCUUGACUUUGGGAGAACUUCAGGAAACUGGGGCUAAGACCGGAUAGGAUCUCCUGCUGCAUGGUGGGCGGUGGAAAGUUUCGGCGGGUGGGGAUGGACGCGCGGGUUAUGAGCUUGUUGGUGGGGGAGUUGCAUCCCAAGGGUUUGGCGGGUAGCCGGCCUGGGAGGGUGACCGGCCACAUGGGGCCUGCGAUAGGCACCAGACUCGUACGGGAGGCAGCAGUGGCAAAUAUUGCCCAGUGGGCGCGCGUGUGAUGAGGAAGCGCCGCGUGCGUGAAGACCGCCUUUGGGUUGAAAACAGCUGUCGCCUGUGACGCCGCGUUAGUGACGGUACUGAGUAAAGAAGCACCGGCUAACUACGUG
rnacentral:rRNA from 1 species